UGUAAUUACAAUAAGUGCUUCCAUGUUAACAGGUUGUUGGCCUGAGAUGGUCCCAAAUCUUGUCAAUAACAGCUCACAGAAUAUUGUCUUGUAUGCAUGUGUGUGACUCAUACAAGCUGUUUCUGAAUUAUUUAUGAAGCAGUUGUUUACGUCCCCAUGCAGAGUUGCUCAUUGGCGGAGGAUUGUGUGCAGCUUGUUUCUCUGGACAUGAGUGACUGGAUCCCGCUCUGGCAGAUGGCUCACAAGUAACGUUGAGGUAAAUGUGUUCCCCACAGCUGCUGCGCCACAGGAGGCCAGUUCAGGGGUGAACAAAUAAGAUGAUUCAUUUGCCUCCUAUGCAGCAAGCAAGCUGUUUUCUCACAGCAUUCUGAAAAAAUAGCAGAAAUGUUGUAUAGGUUGUGAUGGAUGGGUUUAAAAUAAUGCUGCCUUGCAAACACUGAACACCAACUCUGAGAUGGGGAGUGGAGUCUAAUUUCACAUUUCAAUUGAUGUUUGAAACACUCCUGACAAAUUACAGCAAAAACAAGCAAGCUAUCAAGUCCCGUAAAGCGGAGCAAGCCCAUUUAAACGACCGUAUUCAAGUCUACAGAGAAAUAUUACAAAGCUUAGCAUCAUCCCCACCAUCGUCAACUUGCUAUCAGGAGCCAGAAUGUACCAGCGAUGCUUCGGCAGAUGCAGGUGCCUCAGCCAGGGAGAGAAAGGAUAUUGAAUUGCUUGAGCAAGCACUGGAGAAAGCCCUCAAGGUUCGUGCUGGCAACGGACCUUCCAAAAAAGACUCAAAAACACCAUCUUUAACUCCAAAGGAAACGCAAGAUGCUGUUGUUGUUCGCAAAGAAGGCCCCCUGGCAUCUGCCCCUUCCAAAGGGAAGCAGAGCUCCAGAUCAGCCUCAAAGUCAGCCAGUUCUAACAGAACACAACCAAUUCAUUCUGGUCAGUUACACAACUCAGCCCUAAAUGCUAAAGAGAAGGUUACAAAGGGCAAAGUGUUGAGUGGCAACGACCUUGGCAACGCUGCAACUGUCUCCACGUCUGCUUCAAAUAACACGGCACGGGUUUUAGGCACAGUGGAACCUGGACGUCCAAGUUUACCUCAACAAAACAGAACAGCUUCUGAUGAAAUAGAAAAAUGGAAGGCCCUUCUGAGGAAAAAAAACAGGUUGUGGGAAAAGGUUGCUGAUUCACAAAGGAAACCUGAGGCUGGGAGGAGUCGCUUCUUGGAGAGGAUGAGAACUACGUUCCCAGAGGACUGGCCAUGUGGCAGUCCAAACCAGACCCAAGAGCAGCUCCACAGACUGACUCUCCAAGGUCUUGACCUGACUCAGUGCUACCGGACAAAGGAAAUUCUGGACAGACAGCCCUCAGAAGUCACAGAAGAUCUGUGUAAAGGCCUGGACAAAGGUGAGACACUUGAAACGUUGCAGAUGACGGCAGUGGAGCUCCAAAAAUUUGCCAGCCAAGUGAAACAAGAGUGGAAAGCAUGGGAUCGAUGGAGACCAGACAAAGGCUGCCUUUGCCCCGCCGAAGCAAAUGGUUCGUGGGGAGAGGGAACGGCCGCACCCUUGCCCACAACUGUCACCUACAGGACCGAGGCGGAGCUCCGGGAGCUGGAGAAGCUGAGGUCAGAGGUGGCGCUGCUGCAGCAGGAGAGCUGCCUUGAGCAGGCUCUGUCAGAUCUUUUGACCCCCCAGCUGUCCUCUAUCAUUUCUGGCCGUCCCAGCAGCAGCGUGCUGAGAGACGUGUACUCCCUGCUGGGUGAAGGCGGCCUGCGUUUUCCUGCUAUCGUGGUGGACGCUGACCCAGACUGCUGA
ensembl:lncRNA